rnacentral:rRNA from 1 species
AUGGAGACAGCAACCACCAGCGAGUUGCCAUCAACUAACGAGCUCUGUUCAAAAAGAAAAGGACUGGAAAUUGUUCCAGCUCCCAGUUUUUUCCAAGGAAAAACAUUUGAUGGAAACAAGAACUGCAUUCUAGAAACGGCCCAUCAAAUUAUUGGCAUACCUGAAACGAUCCAUUCGACAUGUGUGAAACAGCACGGCCAUCUGAUCGUGCCAAUGCAGCCUGGUUCACACUUGCCUCUGAACCAACCCCCUCUGAAAACUGAAACCAUGCUUCCAUUCUUACAGAAAGAAACAAGAAACAAUUGA